rnacentral:rRNA from 1 species
AGAGUUUGAUCAUGGCUCAGGACGAACGCUGGCGGCGUGCCUAACACAUGCAAGUCGAACGGACGAGGCCCCUUCGGGGACCGAGUUAGUGGCGGACGGGUGAGUAACGCGUGAGCAACCUGCCUUUCAGAGGGGGACAGCAGUUGGAAACGACUGCUAAUACCGCAUGAUGCAGCGAGAUCGCAUGGUCUUGCUGUCAAAGGUUUAUCGCUGAAAGAUGGGCUCGCGUCUGAUUAGCUAGUUGGAGGGGUAACGCCCCACCAAGGCGACGAUCAGUAGCCGGACUGAGAGGUUGAACGGCCACAUUGAGACUGAGAUACGGCCCAGACUCCUACGGGAGGCAGCAGUGGGGAAUAUUGGGCAAUGGGGGAAACCCUGACCCAGCAACGCCGCGUGAAGGAAGAAGGCUUUCGGGUUGUAAACUUCUUUUACCAGGGACGAAGAACGUGACGGUACCUGGAGAAAAAGCCACGGCUAACUACGUGCCAGCAGCCGCGGUAAUACGUAGGUGGCAAGCGUUGUCCGGAUUUACUGGGUGUAAAGGGCGUGUAGGCGGAGCUGCAAGUCAGAUGUGAAAUCUGGGGGCUUAACCCUCAAACUGCAUUUGAAACUGUAGCCCUUGAGUAUCGGAGAGGCAGGCGGAAUUCCUAGUGUAGCGGUGAAAUGCGUAGAUAUUAGGAAGAACACCAGUGGCGAAGGCGGCCUGCUGGACGACAACUGACGCUGAGGCGCGAAAGCGUGGGGAGCAAACAGGAUUAGAUACCCUGGUAGUCCACGCUGUAAACGAUGAAUACUAGGUGUGGGGGGACUGACCCCCUCCGUGCCGGAGUUAACACAAUAAGUAUUCCACCUGGGGAGUACGACCGCAAGGUUGAAACUCAAAGGAAUUGACGGGGGCCCGCACAAGCAGUGGAUUAUGUGGUUUAAUUCGACGCAACGCGAAGAACCUUACCGGGAUUUGACAUCCUACUAACGAAGCAGAGAUGCAUUAGGUGCCCUUCGGGGAAAGUAGAGACAGGUGGUGCAUGGUUGUCGUCAGCUCGUGUCGUGAGAUGUUGGGUUAAGUCCCGCAACGAGCGCAACCCCUAUUGUUAGUUGCUACGCAAGAGCACUCUAGCGAGACUGCCGUUGACAAAACGGAGGAAGGCGGGGACGACGUCAAAUCAUCAUGCCCCUUAUGUCCCGGGCUACACACGUAAUACAAUGGCGGUCAACAAAGGGAAGCAAAGCCGCGAGGCAGAGCAAACCCCCAAAAGCCGUCUCAGUUCGGAUUGCAGGCUGCAACUCGCCUGCAUGAAGCUGGAAUUGCUAGUAAUCGUGGAUCAGAAUGCCACGGUGAAUACGUUCCCGGGCCUUGUACACACCGCCCGUCACACCAUGAGAGUCGGGAACACCCGAAGUCCGUAGUCUAACCCGCAAGGGAGGGCGCGGCCGAAGGUGGGUCUGAUAAUUGGGGUGAAGUCGUAACAAGGUA